CAUCCACUCACUCAAGGGGAGAUGGAAAAAUGCGGCGGAGGGGGGAAAAGGCUGAAGGGGGCAGGCGUGGUUUCUUCACGGUUCUUUUUGCUACCCCGUCUCCCCGCCGCGCCCCGCCCCGCCCCCACACCCAAGGAAAAUGAUCUAACAGUGGAGUCAGGAGACUGGCAAGUCCACACUUGGUGCCUAACGUGCCACCUGACGCUGGGGUCACCACAAACUCCUGUCGGUGUCUGAGUACCUGGGGUGGGCAUGAGAUGGGAUAGGCUGAUAGGGUCAGGAUGCUCAGGGGAAGGAGGGGAAUCUAUCAAGGGGAUCGGAACACAAAACCUCACUUCCAGGUGGGGAAUGGACACCAGAUGGCGGAAGAGGCUGCAGAGGUGCUGCCAGAGACAAGGCUAGGGUCCACCCCUCUGGCUGCUACCUUUGAAAAGGCUAUGGCUUCUUCCUUAGAAAAGGGGCAUCACAUAGUCCUCUACCUACUCCCUCAUCCUGACUGGGGAAACUGAGAAGAAACAAGCUCAACUCAUCUCAGGGCGUCAAGGAGAGCAGAGUGGAGAGGUGAAGAGGCCAAAAGCUGGAAAAAGGUGAGUGGAGCUGGGGCUGGCAUGCACACUUGGAACCAGGAAAAAAAC
rnacentral:lncRNA from 1 species